UAGUGAGUUUGAUCCUGGCUCAGAACGAACGCUGGCGGCAGGCCUAACACAUGCAAGUCGAACGAGACCUUCGGGUCUAGUGGCGCACGGGUGCGUAACGCGUGGGAACCUGCCUUUAGGUUCGGAAUAACUCAGAGAAAUUUGAGCUAAUACCGUAUGACGACUUCGGUCCAAAGAUUUAUCGCCUGAGGAUGAGCCCGCGUAGGAUUAGCUUGUUGGUGAGGUAAAGGCUCACCAAGGCUACGAUCCUUAGCUGGUCUGAGAGGAUGAUCAGCCACACUGGGACUGAGACACGGCCCAGACUCCUACGGGGAGGCAGCAGUGGGGAAUUUUCCGCAAUGGGCGAAAGCCUGACGGAGCAAGACCGCGUGAGGGGGA
rnacentral:rRNA from 1 species